AGGGCUUCGGGUGGUAAAGCCCUUUUGUUGGGAAAGAAAUCCAGCUGGCUAAUACCCGGUUGGGAUGACGGUACCCAAAGAAUAAGCACCGGCUAACUUCGUGCCAGCAGCGGCGGUAAUACGAAGGGUGCAAGCGUUACUCGGAAUUACUGGGCGUAAAGCGUGCGUAGGUGGUCGCUUAAGUCCGUUGUGAAAGCCCUGGGCUCAACCUGGGAACUGCAGUGGAUACUGGGCGACUAGAGUGUGGUAGAGGGUAGCGGAAUUCCUGGUGUAGCAGUGAAAUGCGUAGAGAUCAGGAGGAACAUCCAUGGCGAAGGCAGCUACCUGGACCAACACUGACACAUGAGGCACGAAAGCGUGGGGAGCAAACAGGAUUCGAUACCCUGGUAGUCCACGCCCUAAACGAUGCGAACUGGAUGUUGGGUGCAAUUUGGCACGCAGUAUCGAAGCUAACGCGUUAAGUUCGCCGCCUGGGGAGUACGGUCGCAAGACUGAAACUCAAAGCAAUUGACGGGGGCCCGCACAAGCGGUGGAGUAUGUGGUUUAAUUCGAUGCAACGCGAAGAACCUUACCUGGCCUUGAACAUGUCGAGAACUUUCC
rnacentral:rRNA from 1 species